UCAUGUGAUCAACAACUAGAUGCUACUACUGGUGGAAAUGACGAAGAUGACAACAGGAAAUGGUUUUAAAAUGAUGAUGUU